CUCGAAUUUGAAGUUAACUACUGCCAAAAAAUUCGAUCUGUCCUUAAAUAGCAACAUCAAUGGUCUUUUUCAGGACUUUACCAACAUGAAAGAUACGUGAGAAAUUGUUGGACUGUCACAAAGAUGUUAAAAUGGGAGAGCCUUCAGAAUUUUCCAACUUUAUGUCUUCAGUAAUUAACAAGAAGGCAUUUGAGUCAAUUAAAGGAUUCAUUGACUAUGCAAAGAAAUGUGAAAAUGUGAUUAUUUUGGCUGGUGGAAUUUCAGAUGAUAGAGUUGGUUACUACAUUGAACCAACUAUUAUGGAGGUAAAAGAUCCAAAAGACAAACUAAUGACUGAGGAAAUAUUUGGACCAGUUCUUCCGAUUUAGUUUUACAAAGCUGAUAUGUAUAGAGAUAUAUUAAAAAUGAUCGAUGAAACAAGUAAAUUUGCUUUAACAGGAGCCGUUUUUAGUGAAUCAAGACAAGUUAUCAGGGAAGUCCAACAAGUUUUAAGACAAGCUGCUGGUAAUUUUUAUAUCAACGACAAAUGUACAGGGUCAGUGGUUGCUCAACAACCAUUUGGUGGUCGUCGAAUGUCAGGUACCAAUGAUAAACCUGGCUGUUAUCUCAAUAUUUUACCCUGGGUUUCACCAUUGUCUGUAAAAAGAAAUAUCUUGAAA